GAUGAACGCUAGCGGCAGGCUUAAUACAUGCAAGUCAAGGGGGUAGCAAUACUACCGGCGCACGGGUGAGUAACACGUACAUAACAUACCAUAUACUGGGGUAUAGCUUUGGGAAACUGAAGGUAAUCCCCCAUAACAUUGCGAGAGGGCAUCUGAUUGCAAUUAAAGUUUCGACGGUAUAUGAUUGAUGUGCGUUUGAUUAGCUUGUUGGUAGGGUAACGGCCUACCAAGGCGACGAUCAAUAGCUGGCGUGAGAGCGCGACCAGCCACACUGGAACUGAGACACGGUCCAGACUCCUACGGGAGGCAGCAGUAGGGAAUAUUGGACAAUGGGCGAAAGCCUGAUCCAGCCAUGCCGCGUGAUAGAUGAAGGCCCUCUGGGUUGUAAAUAUCUUUUAUCUGGGAAGAAACAAUCUUAUUCUUAAGAUCUUGACGGUACCAGAAGGAUAAAGCACCGGCUAACUCUGUGCCAGCAGCCGCGGUAAAG
rnacentral:rRNA from 1 species